CCCUUAGAUGUCCUGGGCCGCACGCGCGUUACACUGAUGCAUUCAACGAGCUUAUAACCUUGGCCGAGAGGCCUGGGCAAUCUUGUUAACGUGCAUCGUGAUAGGGAUAGAUUAUUGAAAUUAUUAAUCUUGAACGAGGAAUUCCUAGUAAACGCAGAUCAUCAAUCUGCAUUGAUUACGUCCCUGCCCUUUGUACACACCGCCCGUCGCUCCUACCGAUUGGGUGUGCUGGUGAAAUGUUCGGAUCGGCCGUUUGUCGCGGUUUCCGCGGCUCGUGGCUGAGAAGUUCAUUAAACCCUCCCACCUAGAGGAAGGAGAAGUCGUAACA
rnacentral:rRNA from 1 species